rnacentral:rRNA from 1 species
AGUAACAUCCGGAAACGGGUGCUAAUACCGCAUAGUUUUCUUGAUCGCAUGAUUGAGAAGGGAAAGACGGCCUUUGUGCUGUCGCUUAUGGAUGGACCCGCGGCGUAUUAGUUAGUUGGUGAGGUAAUGGCUCACCAAGACGAUGAUACGUAGCCGACCUGAGAGGGUGAUCGGCCACAUUGGGACUGAGACACGGCCCAAACUCCUACGGGAGGCAGCAGUAGGGAAUCUUCCGCAAUGGACGAAAGUCUGACGGAGCAACGCCGCGUGAGUGAAGAAAGGUUUUCGGAUCGUAAAACUCUGUUGUCAGAGAAGAACAAGUUGGAGAGUAACUGCUCCAGCCUUGACGGUAUCUGACCAGAAAGCCACGGCUAACUACGUGCCAGCCGCCGC